AGAGCGAACGCUGGCGGCAGGCUUAACACAUGCAAGUCGAGCGGGCGUAGCAAUACGUCAGCGGCAGACGGGUGAGUAACGCGUGGGAACAUACCUUUUGGUUCGGAACAACACAGGGAAACUUGUGCUAAUACCGGAUAAGCCCUUACGGGGAAAGAUUUAUCGCCGAAAGAUUGGCCCGCGUCUGAUUAGCUAGUUGGUGAGGUAACGGCUCACCAAGGCGACGAUCAGUAGCUGGUCUGAGAGGAUGAUCAGCCAUAUUGGGACUGAGACACGGCCCAAACUCCUACGGGAGGCAGCAGUGGGAAUAUUGGACAAUGGGCGCAAGCCUGAUCCAGCCAUGCCGCGUGAGUGAUGAAGGCCCUAGGGUUGUAAAGCUCUUUUGUGCGGGAAGAUAAUGACGGUACCGCAAGAAUAAGCCCGGCUAACUUCGUGCCAGCAGCCGC
rnacentral:rRNA from 1 species